UACGGAGGGUGCAAGCGUUGUCCGGAUUUAUUGGGCGUAAAGAGCGUGUAGGCGGCCAGGUAGGUCUGCUGUGAAAACUCGAGGCUCAACCUCGAGACGUCGGCGGAAACCAUCUGGCUAGAGUCCGGAAGAGGAGAGUGGAAUUCCUGGUGUAGCGGUGAAAUGCGUAGAUAUCGGGAGGAACACCAGUGGCGAAGGCGACUUCCUGGCCUGUUCUUGACGCUGAGGCGCGAAAGCUGGGGGAGCAAACGGG
rnacentral:rRNA from 1 species